CCCGCCUCCCCCACUCGCCCCGGGCUGUCCCCGCCGCCCGCCUGAUUCCCCUGCGGAAGCCCCGCUGGCUAGGUGUCUGCGCGCACCCCCGGCCGCCGCCAAGAGUGGCACAGCUGGGGAAGGAGUGAACAUCCAGAGGAAUCGCGGGGCGGGGUGGGGGGAGGCCAGGAGAACAGGUGGCGCAGGGAAGCAGAAACGUAGUUGCGCUGGACAGCUGGAGUCGGGCAGGGUCGGGGCCAGCGGCGAGGGGACAAGAAGGGCCGAUUCGAGAGGAAGCGCACCUGAGGGAGCACAGCGAAGGCCGGGACGCAGGGAGCUGGAUGGAGAGCGAGCCUGGGCGGCGAAAGGUUGCCGAGGCGGGGGCUGGGCGCCUGGGAACAAAGUUGAAAAUGCAACUGCAAGCUCCCCGGUGAAACAAAUACCGCCUUCAACCUUCGUAUUCUGUGGUGACUCAUCUCGCACGUGACCCCCCUCCCUCUUCAAGGUGUGUUGACCGACUACAGUUUAAGCCUGUCGUCCCACAAAAGGCCCGGGAGGGCCGGGGUCCCAGGAAGGGCCAUCCUGGGUCAACACCGCCCCAGUUGGGAAGUCGGGCCGCUUUCGGACUUGCCACUGGGAAGGGAAGUGAUUUGGGGGCGGCAGGUAAGGCCGCGCCCCUUCGCCAUCACCUGGGGAAAGGUACCAGAGUUGAGCCGGGGCGCCCGCAGGCCUGUCUGGGCCUCGGGGUAAGGCGGCGCUGGCCCCGCCCCCUGCCCCUCCCGCCGCGAGUGGCCUCGCGUGGUCGCCCAGGUGAGCCGCGGGGCCGCGAGCCACCGCUCACCCCGCGUCGGGGCGGGGGCUGGGGGUGGAGCCUCAUGCCCCGCCCCGCGGCUGGGCCCUGCCGCGCCGCUGCGGCUCCUCCUCCCUCCUUCCGUCCUCCGCGCCUUCCGUCGGUCGGUCCUUGCUUCCUGCUUCGCCUCCGCGCCUCGCGCUAUGGGACAGAGCCCCC
rnacentral:lncRNA from 10 species